AAGGAGGGGGGGGGCUGUUUGUUAAAAUGUAUGCAUCACUUAUCUUAUUCUCUUUUCCCUUAUCCUUACACCCCCUCCCCCACUCCCCCCCCCUCUCUCUCUCUCUCUCUCUCUCUCUCUCUGCAGUAAAUAAAAGAUUAAACGAAUGUUCUAAAAAAAACAGACUGGUCACCAGAAGAUAAUUGUUUCAGCUUUGUUUACUGUGCGGAGAGACUGCGAGAGAGGGAGAGAGAGAGAAGGAGUGCUGGUUGGUGUCCUUGGACUGGAGGGGAAGAUAAACUUUAUUUCAAGUAUACUUCCUCCCUCUCUUUCACUCUGUUUUCCUCUCCCUCCACUCCCUGCUGUACCAAAAUCAGAAGUCUCUUAUGUACAGAGCUCAACAGCACUGCCUAAUGUCAUUACAUCCCACAGUCAAACCCGUCCUUCAGUGCACCAGCUGGGGGAAUUCCCCAAUUUAAUCAAUAACCUUU
rnacentral:lncRNA from 1 species